rnacentral:rRNA from 1 species
UACGGGGGGGGCAAGCGUUGUUCGGAAUUACUGGGCGUAAAGGGCGCGUAGGCGGCCUGCUAAGUCGGGUGUGAAAACUCUGGGCUCAACCCAGAGCCUGCAUUCGAUACUGACGGGCUAGAGUUCUGGAGGGGAAAGCGGAAUUCCUGGUGUAGCGGUGAAAUGCGUAGAUAUCAGGAGGAACACCGGUGGCGAAGGCGGCUUUCUGGACAGAAACUGACGCUGAGGCGCGAAGGCUAGGGGAGCAAACAGG